rnacentral:rRNA from 1 species
CCUACGGGUGGCUGCAGUGGGGAAUAUUGCACAAUGGGGGAAACCCUGAUGCAGCGACGCCGCGUGAGGGAAGAAGCGCCUCGGCGCGUAAAGCUCUGUCAGCAGGGACGAUAAUGACGGUACCUGAAGACGAAGCCCCGGCUAACUACGUGCAAGCAGCCGCGGCUAUACGUAGGGGGCCAGCGUUAUCCGGAUUUACUGGGUGUAAAGGGAGCGUAGACGGCGGGGCAAGUCCGGAGUGAACGGGCGGGGGCCAACCCCGGGACCGCGCUGGAAACUGCCCGGCUUGAGUUGGGGAGAGGUAAGCGGAAUUCCUGGUGUAGCGGUGAAAUGCGUAGAUAUUAGGAGGAACACCAGCGGCGAAGGCGGCUUACUGGACCGUGACUGACGUUGAGGCUCGAAAGCGUGGGGAGCAAACAGGAUUAGAUACCCUUGUAGUC